rnacentral:rRNA from 1 species
UACGUAGGGUGCAGGCGUUAAUCGGAAUUACUGGGCGUAAAGCGUGCGCAGGCGGUCUUUUAAGUCAGAUGUGAAAUCCCCGGGCUUAACCUGGGAACUGCGUUUGAAACUGGAAGGCUAGAGUGUGGCAGAGGGGGGUGGAAUUCCACGUGUAGCAGUGAAAUGCGUAGAUAUGUGGAGGAACACCGAUGGCGAAGGCAGCCCCCUGGGCUAACACUGACGCUCAUGAACGAAAGCGUGGGGAGCAAACAGG